rnacentral:rRNA from 1 species
UACGAAGGGGGCUAGCGUUGCUCGGAAUUACUGGGCGUAAAGCGCACGUAGGCGGCUCUUUAAGUCGGGGGUGAAAUCCUGGAGCUCAACUCCAGAACUGCCUUCGAUACUGUAGAGCUUGAGUUCGGGAGAGGUGAGUGGAACUGCGAGUGUAGAGGUGAAAUGCGUAGAUAUCGGGAGGAACACCUGUGGCGAAAGCGGCGCACUGGACCAUAACUGACGCUGAUGCGCGAAAGCUAGGGGAGCAAACGAG